GCAUAUCAAUAAGCGGAGGAAAAGAAACUAACAAGGAUUCCCCUAGUAACGGCGAGUGAAGAGGGAAGAGCUCAAAUUUUAAAUCUGCCUUGUUCCAAGGUCGAGUUGUAAUUUGAAGAAGCGUUUUCUUGGGCUCGCGGCCGGUAGAAGUUCUUUGGAACAGGACAUCAUAGAGGGCGACAAUCCCGUCCGUGACCGGUCGUGCGUUCAUCUACGAUACGCUUUCAAAGAGUCGAGUUGUUUGGGAUUGCAGCUCCAAAUGGGUGGUAAACAUCACCUAAGGCUAAAUAUUGGCGAGAGACCGAUAGCGAACAAGUACCGUGAGGGAAAGAUGAAAAGAACUUUGAAAAGAGAGUUAAACAGUACGUGAAAUUGUUGAAAGGGAAACGAUUGAAGUCAGUCGUGCUGGCGCGAAAUCAACCAUCUCGUCUUGAGGUCGCAUGGCGCGACGAGCCUCAAAACCGUCACGAAGCGUGAACUCUUGACGAGAAGGUGCACUUUCGUGUCCGCUGGUUAACAUCAAUUUCGACCGUCAUAAAAAGGCUGGAGGGAUGUGGCUCCUUCGGGAGUGUUAUAACCUUUAGCGGAAUGUGGUGGUCGGGAUUGAGGAUUGCAACGAAUACCUUCAGGGCUGUUCCACCUGGCUUCUCAUUGGUAUCCUGGUGACGACAGCUUGCUGACUUUGUUAGGAUUCGCCUCUGAACAGGCUAGAGUGUGAGCAAAUUCGUUAUAACGUAAUGGCUUUAAACGACCCGUCUUGAAACACGGACCA
rnacentral:rRNA from 1 species